GUGGGGAAUAUUGGACAAUGGGGGGAACCCUGAUCCAGCCAUGCCGCGUGUGUGAAGAAGGCCUUUUGGUUGUAAAGCACUUUAAGCGAGGAGGAGGCUACCGAGAUUAAUACUCUUGGAUAGUGGACGUUACUCGCAGAAUAAGCACCGGCUAACUCUGUGCCAGCAGCCGCGGUAAUACAGAGGGUGCAAGCGUUAAUCGGAUUUACUGGGCGUAAAGCGCGCGUAGGUGGCCAAUUAAGUCAAAUGUGAAAUCCCCGAGCUUAACUUGGGAAUUGCAUUCGAUACUGGUUGGCUAGAGGAUGGGAGAGGAUGGUAGAAUUCCAGGUGUAGCGGUGAAAUGCGUAGAGAUCUGGAGGAAUACCGAUGGCGAAGGCAGCCAUCUGGCCUAAUACUGACACUGAGGUGCGAAAGCAUGGGGAGCAAACAGGAUUAGAAACCCUGGUAGUCC
rnacentral:rRNA from 1 species